rnacentral:rRNA from 1 species
GACGAACGCUGGCGGCGUGCUUAACACAUGCAAGUCGAACGGACAGGCCCUGCUUUUGUGGGGUGCUCGAUUGGCGAACGGGUGUGUAACACGUGAGUAACCUGCCCUUGACUUUGGGAUAACUUCAGGAAACUGGGGCUAAUACCGGAUAGGAGCUCCUGCUGCAUGGUGUGGGUUGGAAAGUUUCGGCGGUUGGGGCUGGACUCGCGGCUUAUCAGCUUGUUGGUGGGGUAGUGGCUUACCAAGGCUUUGACGGGUAGCCGGCCUGAGAGGGUGACUGGCGACAUGGGGACUGAGGUACGGACCAGACUCCUACGGGAGGCAGCAGGGGGGAAUAUGGCACAAUGGGCGGAAGCCUGAGGCAGCAACGCCGGGUGCGGGAUGACGGCCUUCGGGGUGUAAACCGCUGUCGCCUGUGACGAAGCGGGAGUGACGGUAAUGGGUAAAGAAGCACCGGCUAACUACGUG